UACGUAGGGUGCAAGCAUUAAUCGGAAUUAUUGGGCGUAAAGGGCGCGUAGGCGGAUUGAUAAGUCAGAUGUGAAAUACCAAGCUCAACUUUGGUGCUGCAUUUGAAACUGUCUCUCUAGAGGAUUGACGGAGAAAGCGGAAUUCCACGUGUAGCGGUGAAAUGCGUAGAUACGUGGAGGAACACCGGUGGCGAAGGCGGCUUUCUAGUUUUAUACCUGACGCUGAGGCGCGAGAGCAAGGGGGAGCAAACAGGA
rnacentral:rRNA from 1 species